rnacentral:rRNA from 1 species
CCCCUAGACGUUCUGGGCUGCACGCGCGCUACAAUAAUACGCACAGCGAGUAUCACCGAGCUCGAAAGGGCAAGGUAAACAAUAGAAAAGGUACUGUAAUGGUUAUAGAUCCUUGUAAUUAUUGAUCUUCAACGAGGAAUUCCUAGUAAGUAUGUGUCAUCAUCACGCACUGAUUACGUCCCUGCCCUUUGUACACACCGCCCGUCGCUCCUACCGAUUGGGUGAGCCGAUGAAACUCUCGGAUGUAGGCUAUUCAUAGCCCGCAGAAGAGAUUUGAAUCAUAGCGCUUAGAGGAAGGAGAAGUCGUAACA